GUGCGUAAUAGCUCACUGGUCGAGUGACUCUGCGCGGAAAAUGUAACGGGGCUAAACGUACCACCGAAGCUAUGGCAGUCCUACGGACUGGGUAGGGGAGCGUUCCAAGCAGCGGCGAAGCCGUACCGGAAGGAGCGGUGGAGCGCUUGGAAGUGAGAAUGCCGGUGUAAGUAGCGAAAAGACAAGUGAGAAUCUUGUCCACCGAAAGCCUAAGGGUUCCUGGGGAAGGCUCGUCCUCCCAGGGUUAGUCGGGACCUAAGCUGAGGCCGAAAGGCGUAGGCGAUGGACAACAGGUUGAUAUUCCUGUACCACCUCCAUUCCGCUUGAGCAAUGGCGUGACGCAGGAGGAUAGGGCGAGCGGCCUGCUGGAUGGCCGUCCAAGCAGCAAGCCUGGUGUGUAGGCAAAUCCGCACACCGUCAAGGGCAAGCUGUGAUGGCGAGGGAAAUGCAAGUACCGAAGUCCCUGAUUUCACACUGCCAAGAAAAGCGUCUAGCGAGGAAUGAGGUGCCCGUACCGCAAACCGACACAGGUAGGCGAGGAGAGAAUCCUAAGGUGCGCGGGAGAACUCUUGCUAAGGAACUCGGCAAAAUGGCCCGUAACUUCGGGAGAAGGGGCGCCCCGGUAGGGUUAACAGCCCGAGGGGGCCGCAGUGAAAAGGCCCAAGCGACUGUUUUAGCAAAAACACAGGUCUCUGCGAAGCCGCAAGGCGAAGUAUAGGGGCUGACGCCUGCCCGGUGCUGGAAGGUUAAGGGGAUGAGUUAGCGCAAGCGAAGCUUUGAACCGAAGCCCCAGUAAACGGCGGCCGUAACUAUAACGGUCCUAAGGUAGCGAAAUUCCUUGUCGGGUAAGUUCCGACCCGCACGAAAGGCGUAACGACUUGGGCGCUGUCUCGGCAAGAGACCGGUGAAAUCAUAAUACCUGUGAAGAUGCAGGUUACCCGCGACAAGACGGAAAGACCCAUGGAGCUUUACUGUAGCCUGAUAUUGGACUUUGGUACGAUCUGUACAGAAUAGGUGGGAGCCUGGGAAGCGGUGCGCCAGCAUCGGUGGAGCGCCGUUGGGAUACCACCCUGAUCGUAUCGGAGUUCUAACCCGCGGCCCUGAUCGGUCGGGGAACAGUGUCAGGUGGGCAGUUUGACUGGGGCGGUCGCCUCCUAAAAGGUAACGGAGGCGCCCAAAGGUUCCCUCAGAAUGGUCGGAAAUCAUUCGUAGAGUGUAAAGGCAGAAGGGAGCUUGACUGCGAGACCUACAAGUCGAGCAGGGACGAAAGUCGGGCUUAGUGAUCCGGUGGUUCCGCAUGGAAGGGCCAUCGCUCAACGGAUAAAAGCUACCCUGGGGAUAACAGGCUUAUCUCCCCCAAGAGUCCACAUCGACGGGGAGGUUUGGCACCUCGAUGUCGGCUCAUCGCAUCCUGGGGCUGAAGUAGGUCCCAAGGGUUGGGCUGUUCGCCCAUUAAAGCGGUACGCGAGCUGGGUUCAGAACGUCGUGAGACAGUUCGGUCCCUAUCUGUCGCGGGCGCAGGAAGUUUGAGGAGAGCUGUCCUUAGUACGAGAGGACCGGGAUGGACGCACCGCUGGUGCACCAGUUGUUCCGCCAGGAGCACAGCUGGGUAGCUAUGUGCGGACGGGAUAAGCGCUGAAAGCAUCUAAGCGUGAAGCCCCCUCCAAGAUGAGACUUCCCACAGCGUCAAGCUGGUAAGACCCCUCAAAGACGAUGAGGUUGAUAGGUUCGGUGUGGAAGCGCGGCAACGCGUGGAGCUGACGAAUACUAAUCGGUCGAGGACUUAUCCAC
rnacentral:rRNA from 1 species